rnacentral:rRNA from 1 species
CGGACGGGUGAGUAACGCGUGGGUAACCUGCCAUAUACAGGGGGAUAACAGCGAGAAAUUGCUGCUAAAACCGCAUAAGCGCACGGAGUCGCAUGACUCAGUGUGAAAAACUCCGGUGGUGUAAGAUGGACCCGCGUCUGAUUAGCUUGUUGGCGGGGUAACGGCCCACCAAGGCGACGAUCAGUAGCCGGCCUGAGAGGGUGGACGGCCACAUUGGGACUGAGACACGGCCCAAACUCCUACGGAAGGCAGCAG